CAAUAGCGUAUAUUAAUGUUGUUGCAGUUAAAAAGCUCGUAGUUGGAUUUCUGAUGGGAGCCCUGGUCACUUUAACGAGUGUACUGAUGUGGCGUCCUGUCGUUUCAUGGGGAUGCUUGCUGGUAUUAAGUUAUCGGCUUGUGGAUCCAUGUCGUUUACUGUGAAAAAAUUAGAGUGUUCAAAGCAGGCCAUCGCUGUGAAUACAUUAGCAUGGAAUAAUAAGAUAGGACUGUGGUGCUAUUUUGUUGGUUUGCGUACUACGGUAAUGAUUAAUAGGGAUAGUUGGGGGUAUUCAUAUUCAAUUGUCAGAGGUGAAAUUCUUGGAUUUAUGGAAGAUGAACUACUGCGAAAGCAUUUACCAAGGAUGUUUUCAUUAA
rnacentral:rRNA from 1 species